GUGUGCUGACGUCUUCAGGGUAGGUGCAUGUGCUGUUUUUGCUACAUCCUGUUCUCUCAUGGGUGUUUCCCAUAAUCAAGAGCCUUUAGUGACACAGACUGCGUCAGAUUUGGGGGAAGAAUCCAGGUUUGGUUACUGGAGUUAGAAACAAGAUGGAAACAAAAGAACAGUAAGAAGUUUGGAGAUUCAUGCUCCAAAGUGUCCAGAUCCUCAAGCUACAUCAAGAGACGUCUAGAGGAGAUAUAAAGCCAUCCCAAGUAAGUGACUCUCAGGGGAACAGGGCCAUGCAGCCUCAACCAUGAAUGCUGGUUGCCCACAUUCUGGGUUACACAUGUAUUUAAGUGCACCUUGUCCAGGAGCCCAUGUCAGAGGGCACUGUACACUUGCUGCACUACAACAAACAGAUCACUGACACGAGGUCUUGGAGAGCUCCCUGCCUCAUCCUCAGGUUGUGCUUGUGGACCUGUGAACCCUCCUGGGUGCUGUGUGUCCAUGUCCAAGCCUCAAGGAGGGAAGGGGUUUGGGUAACUGUUCCAUGAAGCUGUAGGUUUCAAAGAAACAGAAGAAUGUAGCCCAUCCCAGGUGGAGAGAUGACCCCAGGAGACUGAAGUCAGGAGAGCCUGAAGACUGGAUGUGGAACUGGGAAUCUUCCAGAGGGAAGAGUCUCUGCCUCUCACACAAGGAUAGGAGACAGCAUGCAGAAGCCUGUUUCUCACGUCUAUGACAAAUCCCCAGAAGCUCAGUUCCCUGAAGAGAGAAGAGUUUGUCUCAUGGUUUUGGAAGAUCACGAGUAUGGCACCAACAGCAGCUCAGUUCCUCCCUGAGUAAUCCCUGCUGCCCUACCGAGUGGUUCGAGGUGUGAGCCAGAGGGAGAGCCAUCUCAGACCUGGUCAUAGAAAAAGGGAGAAAUGUUCCUGGCCUCAGCGCUGCCUGCAGUCCUGCAUCCCAGGGGCUGGAACCCUGGGGGCUGCAGGCCAGCACAGCGAGCAUGGCAUCAAUACAGAACAAUACAAACUGACAUGGCUCUGUGGCCCAAACAUGAAACCUGCCCACUGCUCCCUGCUAACAAGUUGCAGCAGAGUGUUGGUGGUUGGAGGUGUUCAGGCGGGCUCGAGCACAGGUGGAAAGCUACCCCUGCCCUUGCCGCCAGUGCAAGCCGUAGGGACCUGAAUCAUUGGACCACGACCUGGGAACCAAGGCCGCUGACCUUUUACAGGGACACCUGCUCCAGACCUCGACCCUCAUCAAGCGUGCCAAUUGGUUGACCUCAACCUCUAGCUUUCUGAGAGGCCCAGAGAAAAUGGAAGAAGGCAGACCCUAGUGCCACUCCGCGCUUAUAGCAUGAGCACUUUUCCAAACCCUAGUUAGCAUAAGCGUGGACCAAUACAAUUAGUCCAUUUUCAAACCCUGAUUAGCACAAAUCUGAACCAAUAGCAUUGACCCAAGUGCUGUAUGAAGUCUUAGACUCCCACAGUGAAGUGGCAACGGUUGCAAGUUUCUCCUAUUUUGGAAGUUCUACUUGGUACAAGCACUGGAAGGAGCCCUGCGUUUCUACUUAUAUCUGUGGGUCUUUGGUGAAUUUAUGAGAGAAGAAUCCAGGAAGAAGAAGUUGAUGAUCUGCUGGGGUCUGCUGAAUACUGAGGGCCUACCCCACCAUUAGGAGAUGUAACACAUCGCAUGGUUGCAGAGACCAGUACCAUACCCUAAGACCCAGGGAAACAAAAACUCCUGUUUUACCUGCUAGUGAAAGCAGACAACUGAGUUCUAUCUCAAAACUCCCAUUUAAAACAUGCAUUUUGGUUACUUUCCUGGAGUGUGAAAGUCUGAGGUUAUUCUACAACUCUUGUGUAGAUCCUGGCAGAAGACAUAACAUGCCUCCAGAAGAAAGCACGUUUUUAAGGCACAGCAGGCAGCAUGAGGAAUGUGUUCCCCCAGUUUCCCUUUUCACUGACACUUGCAGUCUAGGUGUGUGGAGUGUCCCAGAUGGAUGCUGCCCAGGAAAGGAAUUUACAUCACUCCUGAGGAUCCCCACACAUAGAGAAACAGACCUUUGGAAGACAGCUGCUAACAAAGCUGCCUCACUAAUUUCCCCACAGGAGGGUGUUACCUAUAUUUCUAUUUGUAGAAAAUAAUUCUAUUACAAAAAAAUUGACAAUGCAUAGCCCCAAACUCCAGUUUUUUUUCUCUACAAUCAGCAAACUAAAGAUAGUCCUGAAAAGCUCUCCAUAAAAUGCAAACACGUGAUCAAUGCAUGAAGAAUUGUCCACCAACAAAUCCACCACUCAUUUCUUUCACUGUAUUUGCUUCUGGAUAAUGUUCAGGAAUCCACGAUGUGGCCAAACAAUGAUGAAACUGACUUUGAAGGACUGGAAACUAAUCCAUUGAAUCUGGCUGCAAAAAUAUGAAUUAUGGUUAUUAUCAACAGGGUGCUCUUCAUCAGGAUGAGGACAACCAGAGCUGUUCGCCUGCAUGAUGCUCAUGUUGAUCCCACAUCUAGCCAGCUGAGGGUCCAAAUGCCUAUUAGGGUCUCACCCACGUCCUGCACAGGAGGUAGAAUCGGAGUUCCUCUGUGUGGAGGGAGCUGGCAGCAAAAUAAAGCUAAGAAAAAGAAAACAAUGAAGAAACCACAGGACACAGGAAGUAAUUUUAGAAAGUGGGGAUGGGACUUCUCUUCCACCUUAGGGCUUGAGCUGCCGCACUGGAAAGAGAGCGAGAGCCUGCUUGCUUUAUUUAUAUGGGGGAAGCUUCGAAGGUUUUCCCAUGGAAUGUUCCUUUGCCAGAUAAGAUAGGAGGGGGGCUGUCCAAUUUCUAUCAGUUGGUUAUGCUGAACUCUGGAGCUGCAAAGACAGGUCUGUGCAUUGUGAUUCCAUCAAGCAGGAGGAGACACAAGACAAAUUGCAAUGUCAAACCUAAAUCUCCUUGGCUCAAGGACAAGUGAAGAUGCUCAAGUCACUCAGGGUGGCUUCCCACAUUAAGGUAUACAAUGGAAACUCAAGUGACUCAUUCAAUAUGUAGUUUGUCUCAUUCAAUUUAUCUAUUAAUAGGUAAAAUGAAGGUUCCACUUGGGUAAAUGAGGAAGAGGAAACAACUAGAUUUGGGAAACAAGGAAUACAGUGGGGCUUCCUAUUGCUCACGUCAGUCCACAGUAUUUACUCUUCCCCUGCAUGUAACUGUUGCCUCCAAGGGACAUAAAUAAGCAGGAGCACCUCCCAUCACUCCAGGAUCCACUUAAGAGAUGCCAACAGGAAACAUAAUUGUUGUUGAAAAGUGUCCUCAGCUCCCCAGCCUGCACACCCAUCGCUGCUACAGGCACAGUGGUAACUGCAGGUCCACGGGGAGGUGAGGACAGAGUCAGAGAACCACAACUCAGGAGCUGGCCCCCUCCCUGCAGCAAUUGUGUUGGUCACAGAGGCCUCAGCACUGAGGUCACCAUCCUGGCAAAUAGAGAGAGCCUGGUGAGCAAUUUAACGUCAGUCUCUGAGCUGCAUCUGUGAGGGAAGACCCAACUCAGGAGUCUGGGGAAGUGACCCCAUCAGAACCUGGGAUUCUCCGUUGGGCCUGGUUGAAUGCUAGAGCCACACAGGAAGCAGAGGAAUAGACUCAGGCAUGGAAGAAACUGUGGUCCUGGACCCUGCAGCUGUCCCUGGUGGCUCCUAGUUGAAGGUACAGUGGUCAUCCCCACUUGUGGCUGCUGAACUGGACUCCACCAUUUCCCAAGGUGCAUGAGUGUGUUGACUUAAAAUCAUUGAAGCUGCUUAUUCUCCCUUAUAGGAAUUCUAUGCUAAUUUUUCUGGAUUUUAGAAAUGGACCUACAGCAUCGCCAAGCCUAUUGUACAGAAUGGGUAGAACUUAUAGGAAUCCUCCAGCACUGUGUAGUCGGCGAUCUGAAUGGAGAUGUUUGAGCAGUACUUUUUCUGUAACUCUAGGAAUUCCCCCUUAAAGUGAUAAGAAAUUUAUAUAGAAUAUUGAAUAUAAUAAUCAUCGGUUUCUAAAACCACCUAUUAGAUAUAUGUUUUUUAAGGUGUUUAAAAAUAUCCUCCUAUUUGUAUCAAGUUCACCACCUGGUUUAGGAAUUUCAUUGUGGAGUAGGGUAUGAGUGUGUGAUGAUAAGUGUAAACUUCUUCACCUUCUGCUCAAUUUUUAUUUCAAUCUAAAACUGCUCUGAACAAUAAGUUUUAUUGAAUGUAUAUGUUUGAAAGCUAAUAAAAAACUACUCUCUCAAUA